UUGAAAAAUAUACAGUAUAUUUGUUGUAACACAUUUUACAAAUUACUCAAUUUGGUUUUUCUGUAUACAGGUUUGCAAAAAUGUCUUUGUCAGUCAUAGGUUUUUCACCACUAAGUGUUGUUAUAGUGUUUAAUAAAUAUAAUGUUUUAAAAUUACAUUCAGGGUGAUAUUUGUUGGUUUUUAUUUUUAAAGAGAAAUGGUUAUUUUCUUCUUACUAAAUUCCCACUUGGACUUUUCAUGAAUUAAAAAGAAAUCAAAGUUUUAAGGAUAAGGAAAAAUAUCAGUCAGUACAAUAAAUUAUUAAAAUAAAUGCCGACUCCAGAUGUUUUGCAAUAUUUUGAAUUUCUUUUUUUUAGUGCUAAAUGUCAAAUGAAUGCUAGAGACAAAAACAUUUAUUUAGAUAUUUCACUCAACCCAUUUGAAGUAAAACAACUGAAGUUUAAUUUUUAGUUACAUAUGAUUACACACGUUUAAAUGCCACCACAAAAAUUUUCUAGAUCUAACCAUUUUUUUUAGCAAGUUAUGUUCUGUUAUUUAUGUUCUAAAAUGCUUAUUACUUAUGCUCUGCAACAAAGUUUUAUUUUUUUUCUAAGUGUUCAGAACAUCUAAAAAUGUAUAAAAUACUGCCUUCUAUACUGCCAAGAUGUUCAUAUAUUUAUGUCUCUUUGAAUCUUAUGCUUAUAUUUCAGUUCAUUAGGAGAAAUUUCUUUCCAAUAACUGACUUCAGACAGUUCAUGAAUGCUUGUGAAAGAAGAAAACCAUUCUGAUUGGGACUAGUCUGAAAAGUUGUAUACUGAAGGCAUCAAAGUUAAGGCCAAAGUUAUGCAUGGUCACUUUUAGACACUAAUGUUUUGUAUGGUAAGUCAGAAAGUAAUUGAAGAAAAAUGUUUAUGAUAUACGUGUUUAGCCAUAAUUGUAUACGUGUAAAUUUUCACUUACGAGUUCUGAGCAAUGACUGGUGUCAAUUAUACUUAUUUGGAACUGUUACAAAUGAAGCUGUGAGUAAUUGAAAAACAAUUCCGUUUCCAAACAGUAUGAUUACUGUUAUACUAGAGAAUUAACAUAUUUCAUCCAAUAUAUUGCAUGUGCAUUUCUGUUAUAUGGAAAUAGAAAUCAUCAAGACCUCCAUGGAACAUUUUAUUUGUUUUUUUGUUCUACCCUUGUGUUGUAUUUUGGUUGGGCAUUUUAGGAUAGUUCUUUACUCUGUUUAUCACUUCUUAAUGAAUAACUUAAGAAUUGGAUUCUUCUUCUUUUUAAGCCUUUCAGGUGAUGAAGAAUAUCCCUUUAGGUUGUAGUUUGUCAAAUGGAACCAAAAUUUUAUGAUAUGUAAAAUAUUAAAUAACUAAAAAUGUACAGAUAUUGGCCUGUAAAAGUUGGAGUUAAGAAAUUGGUUAUUACUUCAGAAUUAUGAAAAUACCACUUUGAAAAAGGUAUCUGGUGUUUUGAAUGGUUGAUAUCUAGCAGCAUGGCCUUAUUAGGCAAUGAUGUACACUGUUACAUAUAGUUGAGAUACUAGUGCAUUCUUUGACUAUAUUUUUAUAUUGGGCCGGUAAUAAAAUAAACAUCUAGCAGCAUGGCCUUAUUAGGUAAUGAUAUACACUGUUACAUAGUUGAGAUACUAGUGCAUUCUUUGACUGUAUUUUCAUAUUGGGCCAGUGAUAAAAUAAGUUUAAAGUCCUUACAGACCUGCUAUUGGGAUUAGAUUUUAUGGUUCUCCUGUUACGAGUUACCACUCUUGUUUACCUGGAUCAGACCUGAAUUUGGUGACAAGUACUGGUUUCAAUAUAUUAAGAUUCUUCUUUCUCUGUUUGGGUUACAUCUUUAUAUUAUUAUGUGACAUUUUUCAACAUGUACAGCAACAUAGGUAUCGUGUUGUUAUGCUUGUUCCGCAUCUCUAGACAAAUAUCAUGCCCAUUUAGUAGACUAUAUUAUACAACUUUACAUUAUUUUUACUUCUGAUUUUGUCUUUGGACUUGAUGUUUGGAGAUUACAGUCAUUAUUUGUAAUGUUUGCGGGAUGCCAUUUAUUUAUCACAAUAAGAACCAUUUAUUACAUUUGUAAAGAUGUGUUCUACAUUGAGGUUUAGUAGUUAAUGUACCUGUUUCGUACCAAUUGUAAUUUGUAAGUUUUUUUCAUAUGCUCCAAUAAAUAUUUAUUUUAAUUUGUAUGUUGUUACAUUCCUGAUGUAUCUCUUGUUAUUUUACAAUAGGGAUUGAGCCUUUCUUGUUACUGUGAUCUUCACUUUCACAUUUAUUUUCCAGGGCUGAGUUGUAGUUUGGAGUACUUGUCAAGUUUGACUCAUCAGAGUUAAAUGACUGUUCAUCAAAGUUUAGAUUAAAGGCUCUUUUUUUUGACAUUCAACUGAUAUGUUAUCAAGAUAUUACUUGUUUUGAAUGUUUUGUAACAUUCUUGUUUUGCUUCUUUCUUCAUGUCUAGAUUAUAGGUUUGUAUAUUCUAUAAAUUUUACAAUUAAGAUAAUAUUAUUUAUUUUCUUCCUAUUAACUGGUAGCACUUGCUCAAGACUACUCUAUUGGUGUUCAUGAAUAUAUAGAUUUAUCAAAAGGAGCAUUUUACACUGGAUGUCACUGUUCAGUGUCACUUCUUGUUUGUAUUUCUCAUAAUUCUUUUCUAGCCUAGUUCAAAGUAUGAUUGACUUGUAGUUUGUUAGUACUUUUCUUCAAGACCUGUUCCAUCACUUUGAUUGUCUUGUUAGUUAUUUAUUAUGUUAAAGAUUGUGUUGGAAUUAAGUUCUUAAAGCUUAAUAUGCUAUUUUUCCCCUGUAAAUAACUAUAUGGAAAAAAAAAGAGGUUUUGUCUGUACUUAUAUAGCCCUUGUGAGAAUUUCCAAACCAAAUUCAAGAUUGAGCUUGACAAUUUCUAUUGUUGGUGGUCUUUCUCUACAUCAUUUUAUUGAAUAAGACCAGUAUUUUAAAGUUCUUAUGUUAGACUUGGAUCUGUCCAAAUAUAGCUUGAAACAUCAAAGACUGAAUAAUUUGUCUUUAUACUCAUGUGGGACACAGAAAACCAUCUGCUGGUUGCAUUUUUAGGUGUUAAAAGGUGCUUAAAUACCAAGUUGGGGAUGCUAUAAGAAAAGUUAUGGAACUAGUAUAGAAUUGAAUUUAGUUUCUUUUUCUGUUCUGUCUUCAGUUUUGUUAUGCCUGUUGUCCUCUGAUAGAUCAGGCUUUGGGUACUUUAAUCAUAGUCAAAUUAUACUAAACUCUUUUGGAUGGCAGUCUGUGUUAGACUAUUCAGAAGUUAUGGUUUGUUAUUGUGGUUAUUCUUCUUCUUAUUAUUAUAUUUUGUUGUAUUACUCAUAGAUGGAUCAGGCUUUUCAAUUUUAAGCAGUGGACACAACAACUGGCAAUGAAAUUAUUUUUAUGUUCUUCCUGACCUGUGGUGUAACAGUUUGAUUCUAUCUCGUCUUCUGUGCUGUUCUUAUUAGGAUUUAGCACUCUUAGUGUUUCUAUAGUUUGUUGCACUGGUUCACACCUGGCAGAGAUGAAGUUUUUUUAUUGUGAGGAGGAUUUUAUUUUAUUUCUAGGCCAUGCUGUAGCUAUCUUAGCUUCUGGAUUAGGCUAUCAUGGCAAAUGAAUAGUGUCAUUAAGAUUCUGUUUCUCUCAGUCUCGAUCUUUUUU